GACGAAGGAUGCAAGCGUUAUCCGGAUUCAUUGGGUUUAAAGGGAGCGUAGGUGGCCUUAUAAGUCAGUGGUGAAAUCUCUGGGCUUAACCCAGAAAUUGCCAUUGAUACUGUAGGGCUUGAGUAUAGUUGCCGUUGGCGGAAUAUGACAUGUAGUGGUGAAAUACAUAGAGAUGUCAUAGAACACCGAUGGCGAAGGCAGCCCCCUGGGUCAAGACUGACGCUCAUGCACGAAAGCGUGGGGAGCAAACAGG
rnacentral:rRNA from 1 species